AGUUAUCUACUGCUCCUGGGAGAACAGUCACCACCUCUAGAGGGAGAUCACAGAUGCUCCUUAAGCCAUCACACGUGGAAACCUCUACAUGAGCAGAAAGACAGAUGGACAGCUCCCAGUGCUCAUGAAGACAAAGCAAUGGCAAACUAUACAGCAAAUAUGGGCUUCCCAACAGAUGCUGAGUAUUCUGAGAGCAGAGCUGCACUCUCUGGAGAGCAAACAGUUCAGAGUCUGCCUGGACCUGCAGGCUCCUCCUUCACCUUCAGCAAGGCGUGGAGACUGAGGUGUUCCCUGGGCCUUUGCUGGAUGCACAGUGUGAACGGAAGACCAAGCAAUGUCUCAUGACCUCCCUGAUGGGUUAUCUCACUCGGGAGUAGCUGGCAUCAGAGGAAGCCGUCUGUACCUCGCAGCAUGCCUUAUUCCAAGCCUGUGUUGUUGAGAAACAAGCAGAAGACUAAAGAAGAAAGCCUUCAAAACCAGUCCCGCCCAGCCGCGAGGGGUGGAGCCACAGCACCCACUCUGCCAACAGAUGGGCCCUGUUCUCAGACAAGGUUUAGGAUCUCUGCCCCAGAACGUUUUUUUGCCUGGCACCUUAGACACCUGUGGUAUUUUCGUCUGCAUCACCUAAUGGCGCCUCUCCGGUUAGACAAGCUGGUGGUCACAGUCCCACAGUCAGAUUCCUAGGCUGUUAGCAGCGGGGCAGAGAGGCCUGUUACUCUGAGACAGUCUCCAUAGUGAUGAUGACAAGGAAAGAUGCUCCCACCAUACCUCACCCCCCACUCCAGUCCCGUCUGAUCACUGGCUGGCUACAGCCACAGAGCCCUGUCGCUGACAUAGUCUUAGCUGAGCCCACCGAAGCCCAAGGUACAGGACAAGCUGAAGCCACCAAGAAAGCUUCCAGAUGGCGCAUCCCAAAGACCUCAGCUAACCACACGUCACCCCAUAGAUCAGAGGAUUCUUCCAUCCUUUUCUCAACCUUCCAUUUUCCUUUGUGUGUACAUAUGCCCAGGCCCUGUGUCUUUUCCCCCCAUAACCCCCAAGUGGGUGACAGCUGCUGGCUGCCUCUCCCAGACAGGCUUCUGGCUGCUACUCCCAAGUUGGAGGCUGAGCCCGGUCUUCUGAGAAGUCUCUAGUGUCAGCCUCUGCUCUGAGCUCAGGACCAUGCUACCCAUCUUCUCUUCACCCUCUGGGUGACGGGGUCUGCUGGACUCAGACAGCAGCUGUUCUUUCCAGACUCAGAUAACCUCCUAACAGAGCACAGGCUUCUGGAGUCCUGGACAUGUUGGCCAAGUCAGAAACUUAAAAGGAAGAGAAUGGGACCCACCUUUGGCUACAGGAUGGUCAAGAGCUUUCCAAACUGGUCAGACAGCCUUGCCCACAAGAAAGGAGGCAUAAGGACUUCCCAGGUAGAUGGUGAAGGAGUCGAUAAAUCACAGAGUCGCGCGAGCUCCAGCCACUUUCAGUGACUUCCUUGCUGUUGUGUGACAUGCAUCUAUUCCCUCUUGGCCCACGCCAGCAUAGAGCCACACUGUACGAAUGCAGCUUUAUUCUCUGGUAAGUACUGGAGGGACAAGGUUAGACCUGGUCCCCACACUAAAGAUGCUGUGCACCGUUGCUAGCUCCCCAUGCCAGGACCGCACCUAUAGGUGGCUGGUGAACUGGAGGGGAGAGAAUAGGAAGCCUAUUGCUUGGAGCUGGCUGGACCAAUGGAGGGGUUGGCUCCAUCUCAGGGCAGCAACAGCUUGGCACAGCAUGAAAAGAUGAAAGGUUUUGACUUCUGCUUCUCCCUAAAUGCACCUUGAGGGGCCUGCCUUCCUACCAGCAGCAAUCAAGGCCUCCCUCCCCUGACAAGGACACCAUUAUUUUAACAACUGUACUCUCCAGGACUGGCCAGCUACAACCUGAUGCUGGCCUUUUCUACCCCUCUCCCUGGCAGCCAGGGGAAAAACUGGCCCCAGGAAGCUAUUUCCACCUACCUACUUCCUGGGUGCUCCAUCUAGUUACCUGGAGAUGGGUGGUCAGACUUCACUGGACAGUAGCCAGCAUCCGUGGAAAGUGAGUGAGGAGGAGCACAGCUAGGUCACCUAGGCUCACUAGACCUGGUCACCGAGGUGGAAGCAGACAACAGACUGGCCAAGGGGUAAGGGUCGCAGUGGAAUGCAGUGAGACAGGAAGAUGGCCGAGCAAUGGAUACAGCGAAGAUGGCCGAGCGAGAGGAGACUAAACACAGUGGCUUCCUAGCAGCUGGGACAGACAAAGCAGGUGAUAAGGGGGUUGCUGAGAUGGAGAGAGUAAACACAUAUACUUUCCAUAAUGCCAAGACAAGAUGCAUGACCAAAGUAACUUAAGGGAGAGUUUACGUUGACUUACAAUUCGAGGGUGCAGUCCAUCAUGUUAGGGGAGUCACAGACAGCAGCAGAAGCAUGAAGCUACAGGGGACCUUACAUUUACAGCCAGGAAGCAGGGAUGAACACUUGCUUGCCUUUUCUGAGUCCAGGACCAUGACCCCAGUGAUGUAACACGAGGGCCGGAUUGUUGGGGUAUCUGUCCUGCACAAUACCCCACAGCCGGCAAGUCCCAGAGAAAA